rnacentral:tRNA from 1 species
GUGAGCGUAGCUCAAUCGGUAGAGCCCCGGAUUGUGAUUCCGGUGGUCGUGGGUUCGAUUCCCAUCGCUCACCCCA